rnacentral:rRNA from 1 species
UGCAAGUCGAACGGUUUUUCAGGUGUAGCAAUACAUUUGAAAAGCAGUGGCGAACGGGUGCGUAACACGUGAACAAUCUACCUUUUAGUGUGGAAUAGCUCGGCGAAAGCCGGAUUAAUACCGCAUGUGGUUGGUUCUCUCCUGAGAGCCAUACUAAAGUCAGGGACCGCAAGGCCUGACGCUAUUAGAGGAGUUCGCGGCCUAUCAGCUAGUUGGCGAGGUAACGGCUCACCAAGGCUAAGACGGGUAGCUGAUCUGAGAGGAUGAUCAGCCACACUGGAACUGAGACACGGUCCAGACACCUACGGGUGCCAGC